UCCGCUGAGGAUGGCUUUUCCUCGGUGUAACCAGCCGGGGGAAUAAGGAGAGGGCAAGACUGGUGUCAGCCGCCGCGGUAAUACCAGCUCUCCGAGUGGUAGGGAUGAUUAUUGGGCUUAAAGCGUCCGUAGCCGGCUUAGCAAGUCUCCUGUUAAAUUCAGCGACCUAAUCGUUGAGCCGCGGGAGAUACUACUAGGCUAGGAGGCGGGAGAGGUCGACGGUACUUCCGGGGUAGGGGUGAAAUCCUAUAAUCCCGGGAGGACCACCAGUGGCGAAGGCUGUCGA
rnacentral:rRNA from 1 species